rnacentral:misc_RNA from 1 species
GAUGAAGAACGCAGCGAAAUGCGAUAAGUAAUGUGAAUUGCAGAAUUCAGUGAAUCAUCGAAUCUUUGAACGCACAUUGCGCCCGCCAGUAUUCUGGCGGGCAUGCCUGUCCGAGCGUCAUUUCAACCCUCGAACCCCUCCGGGGGGUCGGCGUUGGGGAUCGGCCCUGCCUUUGGCGGUGGCCGUCUCCGAAAUACAGUGGCGGUCUCGCCGCAGCCUCUCCUGCGCAGUAGUUUGCACACUCGCAUCGGGAGCGCGGCGCGUCCACAGCCGUUAAACACCCAACUUCUGAAAUGUUGACCUCGGAUCAGGUAGGAAUACCCGCUGAACUUAAGCAUAUCAAUAAGCGGAGGA